GCUGCCACUCCUGAGGGGCCGGCUCAGUCGUCUCUCUCAGCAGUGGGCAGGGAGGGGAAGGGCAGAGUCCACGUGCAGGACAGCUGGCACUCUGGUUGUCUCUGCCCCUCUCU